rfam:Lactobacillus kunkeei strain LAko contig007, whole genome shotgun sequence.
AAUCUAAGAAGAGGCGCAGCUGACAUUAGUAGCCAUCAUGAGUUGAUAAAGCGACUUUGAUUGAAGGUGAAAGGGGAUGCCUGCCGAAACGACCGUUUCCUUUAUGAGACGAGGUUGUUGGGUUCUAGCUUAACAGGCUAGAGACUGUCGUGGUUAAUUCCACGGAGUGCUUUGUGAUCA